UGAUGAUGGUGAGGACAAUAUCAGAGAAUAGACUUAAAUCUUUCCCAAGCUUGGUACAAAUUCUCUCCAUCUCUCUACCUGAAACUCAAAAUUUUUCUUCUCAACUA
rfam:Capsicum annuum cultivar Zunla-1 chromosome 11, whole genome shotgun sequence